AAUGAACGCUGGCGGCAGGCCUAACACAUGCAAGUCGAACGGUAGAGGGGGCAACCCCUUGAGAGUGGCGAACGGGUGAGUAAUGCAUCGGAACGUGCCCAGUCGUGGGGGAUAACGCAGCGAAAGCUGUGCUAAUACCGCAUACGAUCUCUGGAUGAAAGCGGGGGACCGAAAGGCCUCGCGCGAUUGGAGAGGCCGAUGUCAGAUUAGGUAGUUGGUGGGGUAAAGGCUCACCAAGCCAACGAUCUGUAGCUGGUCUGAGAGGACGACCAGCCACACUGGGACUGAGACACGGCGCAGACUCCUACGGGAGGCAGCAGUGGGGAAUUUUAGACAAUGGGCGAAAGCCUGAUCCAGCAAUGCCGCGUGCAGGAAGAAGGCCUUCGGGUUGUAAACUGCUUUUGUACGGAACGAAAAGGUCUGGGUUAAUACCCUAGGCACAUGACGGUACCGUAAGAAUAAGCACCGGCUAACUACGUGCCAGCCGCCGCCGUAA
rnacentral:rRNA from 1 species